AGCCCCAGCAGGGUGUUCCACAGAGCAAAGAUGCAUUAGCUUUUGCCACUGACAGUGGCUCUCCAAUGAGUUCCAUUCCCUGGUGGAAACAGCGGCUGAUUCUCAAGUUUAACAAACAUCAUUGGCUCUAGGAACACUCAGGUUGCUGUGGUUGUCUCCCAGAAAGAUCAGCUCUUGGGAUUAUUUGAAAAUGAAUAAAGUACCUGGAAACAA